GGAAACUCCGCCUCUUCAUCUAAGCUUCUUACCAUUGAAGUUCCUCUCGCCGGAGACGUAAAUGUUGAGAGUCUUGAGACGUUACAAACUCAGUCUGAGUCCAGGCGUCAUGUUUAACCCAAGCAUUUACGAUAACUCUCCACUAUUCCCAUGAUCAUCAUUGAAUGCAACCCCAUUACUUCAUUGCUCUGGAUCUUCUACUAUAAAAAGGCUAAAUCCUCCACCGUCGAGGUCCGGUUGCUUAUAUUUUUGGAAGCUAAAACGUCAAGUGCGGUGGCGAGCUCAUGGGUGUUGAAAUCCUCCUCCACUCUAAGUUUGUCAGAGGAGGUUGCGUUUGCACUUGCUCAAGGUUUGAAAGUAAUUGCUUGUGUUGGUGUGAUGAGACUCUUGAGCUGCGAGAAGCUGGGCCAACCAUGGAUGUUGUAGCUGCUCAGACUAAAGCUAUUACUGGGCCGUUAUGAUGACUGUUUCGGAUGGUGAUAUGACAAAGCUAACUAAUAUCCCAGCCUCCGAGGCUGGUCCUCCCCUGGCUGAACAUGGAGAGAACCCAAAAGAUAGUCAACUCCCUCAGUUUACACAUUUCAGGUCAAAGUUUUCUACUACAAUUUUGGUGCUAAACAUCAGACAUUCACUUUCUCACACAUCAUGGAAGAGGGUGAACGUCUUCCCCUCCCUGACUUUGCUGUGAUGAGGGCAACCAUGGUCCUGGAGAUGAUAUGCCCGGGAUGACCUCACUGUCUAUCAAUGUGUGCGAAAGGACCAACUCUUCAACAACUUUGAUUUGUCUCAUCACCAAAAACUCUCAGGGCACAUCAUCUUCCAAGUUCACCAAGAAGGCAGGCAUCGCAAAGGCACGCACGCAUCGCAUAGGUUAAGAGGAUGCAAUAUAUGGACACAUUAGUAUCUAGAAAAAUGCUUACGCAUAAUCGAUGGAUUUUUAUCUACUCUUCUCUGUUAUCUAAAUUUUAACUCAUGGUUAUAUUCCUCCCCAGUCAUUCAGCCACUAAGUUUCAUAUAUGUAUACAUCCCUUCAAUUCAUUCAAAAUAUUAAAAAACAGUAAAUAAUAUUAAAAAAUAAAAGUAA